rnacentral:rRNA from 1 species
AUUGAACGCUGGCGGCAGGCUUAACACAUGCAAGUCGAACGAGUGGCGGCCGGGUGAGUAAUGCUUGGGAAUCUGCCUUAUGGAGGGGGAUCACUACGGGAAACUGUAGCUAAUACCGCUUACCAUAGGAUGAGCCCAAGGGGGAUUCGCUAGUUGGUGGGGUAAAGUCUCACCAAGCCGACGAUCCGUAGCUGGUCUGAGAGGAUGACCAGCAACACUGGGACGGAGACACGACCCAGACUCCUACGGGAGGCAGCAGUGGGGAAUAUUGCGCAAUGGGGGCAACCUGACGCAGCCAUGCCGAGUGAAUGAAGAAGGCCUUCGGGUUGUAAAGUACUUUCGGUAGAGAGGCGUUAACUACAGAAGAAGCACCGGCUAACUCCGUGCCAGCAGCCGCGGUAAUAC